rnacentral:rRNA from 1 species
UAGGGAAUCUUCGGCAAUGGACGAAAGUCUGACCGAGCAACGCCGCGUGAGUGAAGAAGGUUUUCGGAUCGUAAAACUCUGUUGUUAGAGAAGAACAAGGACGUUAGUAACUGAACGUCCCCUGACGGUAUCUAACCAGAAAGCCACGGCUAACUACGUGCCAGCAGCCGCGGUAAUACGUAGGUGGCAAGCGUUGUCCGGAUUUAUUGGGCGUAAAGCGAGCGCAGGCGGUUUCUUAAGUCUGAUGUGAAAGCCCCCGGCUCAACCGGGGAGGGUAAUUGGAAACUGGGAGACUUGAGUGCAGAAGAGGGAAGUGGAAUUCCAUGUGUGGCGGUGAAAUGCGUAGAUAUAUGGAGGAACACGAGUGGCGAAGGCGGCUCUCUGGUCUGUAACUGACGCUGAGGCUCGAAAGCGUGGGGAGCAAACAGG